rnacentral:rRNA from 1 species
ACGGCUCAGUAACACGUAGUCAACAUGCCCAGGGGACGUGGAUAACCUCGGGAAACUGAGGAUAAACCGCGAUAGGCCAAGAUUUCUGGAAUGAGUCAUGGUUCAAAUCUAUAUGGCCCCUGGAUUGGACUGCGGCCGAUCAGGCUGUUGGUGAGCUAAUGGCCCACCAGACCUGUAACCGGUACGGGCUCUGAGAGGAGGAGCCCGGAGAUGGGCACUUAGACAAGGGCCCAGGCCCUAUGGGGCGCAGCAGGCGCGAAACCUCUGCAAUAAGCGAAAGCUUGACAGGGUUACUCUGAGUGAUUUCCGCUAAGGAAGUCUUUUGGCACCUCUAAAAAUGGUGCAGAAUAAGGGGUGGGCAAGUCUGGUGUCAGCCGCCGCGGUAAUACCAGCACCCCGAGUGGUCGGGACGAUUAUUGGGCCUAAAGCAUCCGUAGCCGGUCCUGCAAGUCCUCCGUUAAAUCCACCCGCUCAACGGUUGGGCCGCGGGGGAUACUACAGGGCUAGGAGGCGGGAGAGGCAAGCGGUACUCGAUGGGUAGGGGUAAAAUCCACUGAUCCAUUGAAGACCACCAGUGGCGAAGGCGGCUUGCCAGAACGCGCUCGACGGUGAGGGAUGAAAGCUGGGGGAGCAAACCGGAUUAGAUACCCAGGUAGUCCCAGCUGUAAACGAUGCAGACUCGGUGAUGGGCUGGCUUCGUGCCAACCCGGUGCCGCAGGGAAGCCGUUAAGUCUGCCGCCUGGGGAGUACGGUCGCAAGACUGAAACUUAAAGGAAUUGGCGGGGGAGCA